GGGGAAUCUUGCGCAAUGGACGAAAGUCUGACGCAGCCACGCCGCGUGAGUGAAGAAGGCCUUCGGGUUGUAAAGCUCUGUCGAACGGAACGAAAAUGGCGGUAGUUAAUAGCUAUCGCAACUGACGGUACCGUGAAAGGAAGCACCGGCUAACUCUGUGCCAGCAGCCGCGGUAAUACAGAGGGUGCAAGCGUUGCUCGGAAUUAUUGGGCGUAAAGGGUGGGUAGGUUGUCUCGUUUGUCGAAGGUGAAAGCCCCGGGCUUAACCUGGGAAGUGCCUUGGAAACGGCGAGACUAGAGUUCUGGAGAGGGUCGUGGAAUUCCCGGUGUAGCGGUGAAAUGCGUAGAGAUCGGGAGGAACAUCAGAGGCGAAAGCGGCGACCUGGACAGAUACUGACACUCAGCCACGAAAGCGUGGGGAUCAAAC
rnacentral:rRNA from 1 species